AACGCUAGCUACAGGCUUAACACAUGCAAGUCGAGGGGCAGCAUUUNCAGUUUGCNUGCAAACUGGAGAUGGCGACCGGCGCACGGGUGAGUAACACGUAUCCAACCUGCCGAUAACUCGGGGAUAGCCUUUCGAAAGAAAGAUUAAUACCCGGUGGUAUAAUUAGACCGCAUGGUCUUGUUAUUAAAGAAUUUCGGUUAUCGAUGGGGAUGCGUUCCAUUAGGCAGUUGGUGAGGUAACGGCUCACCAAACCUUCGAUGGAUAGGGGUUCUGAGAGGAAGGUCCCCCACAUUGGAACUGAGACACGGUCCAAACUCCUACGGGAGGCAGCAGUGAGGAAUAUUGGUCAAUGGGCGCAGGCCUGAACCAGCCAAGUAGCGUGAAGGAUGACUGCCCUAUGGGUUGUAAACUUCUUUUAUAUGGGAAUAAAGUUUUCCACGUGUGGAAUUUUGUAUGUACCAUAUGAAUAAGGAUCGGCUAACUCCGUGCCAGCAGCCGCGGUAAUACGGAGGAUCCGAGCGUUAUCCGGAUUUAUUGGGUUUAAAGGGAGCGUAGGUGGACAGUUAAGUCAGUUGUGAAAGUUUGCGGCUCAACCGUAAAAUUGCAGUUGAUACUGGCUGUCUUGAGUACAGUAGAGGUGGGCGGAAUUCGUGGUGUAGCGGUGAAAUGCUUAGAUAUCACGAAGAACUCCGAUUG
rnacentral:rRNA from 1 species